AGAGUUUGAUCCUGGCUCAGAUUGAACGCUGGCGGCAGGCCUAACACAUGCAAGUCGAGCGGUAGCACAGAGAGCUUGCUCUCGGGUGACAAGCGGCGGACGGGUGAGUAACGCGUAGGAAUCUACCUAAUAGUGGGGGAUAGCCCAGGGAAACUUGGAUUAAUACCGCAUACGCCCUACGGGGGAAAGCGGGGGAUCUUCGGACCUCGUGCUAUUAGAUGAGCCUGCGUAAGAUUAGCUAGUUGGUGAGGUAAGAGCUCACCAAGGCGACGAUCUUUAGCUGGUCUGAGAGGAUGAUCAGCCACACUGGGACUGAGACACGGCCCAGACUCCUACGGGAGGCAGCAGUGGGGAAUAUUGGACAAUGGGGGCAACCCUGAUCCAGCCAUGCCGCGUGUGUGAAGAAGGCCUUCGGGUUGUAAAGCACUUUCAGAGGUGAGGAAAGGUAUGUGCUUAAUACGUACAUACUGUGACGUUAACCUCAGAAGAAGGACCGGCUUACUCCGUGCCAGCAGCCGCGGUAAUACGGAGGGUCCGAGCGUUAAUCGGAAUUACUGGGCGUAAAGCGCGCGUAGGUGGUUUCGUCAGUCAGAUGUGAAAGCCCCAGGGCUCAACCUUGGAACUGCACCUGAUACUGCGGAACUAGAGUUACGAUAGAGGGGAGUGGAAUUUCCGGUGUAGCGGUGAAAUGCGUAGAGAUCGGAAGGAACACCAGUGGCGAAGGCGACUCCCUGGAUUGAUACUGACACUGAGGUUGCGAAAGCGUGGGAGCAAACAGGAUUAGAUACCCUGUUAGUCCACGCCGUAAACGAUGUCAACUAGCGUUGGGACACUUGAUGUCUUAGUGNGCAGCUAACGCGAUAAGUUGACCGCUGGGGAGUACGGUCGCAGAUUUAAACUCAAAGGAAUUGACGGG
rnacentral:rRNA from 1 species